rnacentral:rRNA from 4 species
AAAUUGAAGAGUUUGAUCAUGGCUCAGAUUGAACGCUGGCGGCAGGCCUAACACAUGCAAGUCGAACGGUAACAGGAAGCAGCUUGCUGCUUCGCUGACGAGUGGCGGACGGGUGAGUAAUGUCUGGGAAACUGCCUGAUGGAGGGGGAUAACUA